UACGUAGGGUGCGAGCGUUGUCCGGAAUUAUUGGGCGUAAAGAGCUUGUAGGCGGUUUGUCGCGUCUGCUGUGAAAAUCCGGGGCUCAACCCCGGACUUGCAGUGGGUACGGGCAGACUAGAGUGUGGUAGGGGAGACUGGAAUUCCUGGUGUAGCGGUGAAAUGCGCAGAUAUCAGGAGGAACACCGAUGGCGAAGGCAGGUCUCUGGACUGUAACUGACACUGAGGCACGAAAGCGUGGGGAGCAAACAGGAUUAGAUACCCGCGUA
rnacentral:rRNA from 1 species